AUAAAUAUCCAAAUGGCCCUUGGCAGAAAAAGGUUUCCCCACCCAUGCUCAUUUCUAAUAGCUACACAACCUAGAACUGGAAUUUCGAGUUUGAUACACGCUGAGUUCUGUCCCUUUACCAUUCUCUUCCUCCUCUUUCUUUAGGUUUGACUUGCACUGAAUUGGGCCUACAGUCCAGGAUGGUUUGUUCUCGGGACCAGACCUGACCAGAAGUUGACCUCAUGAGCACAUCCGCCUCCCCCGCGGCCAUGCUCCUCCGGAGGCUGAGGCGGCUCUCCUGGGGCAGCACAGCUGUCCAGCUCUUCAUCUUGACCGUGGUGACGUUCGGCCUGCUGGCCCCCCUGGCCUGUCACCGGCUUCUACACUCGUACUUCUACCUUCGCCAUUGGCAUCUGAACCAAAUGAGCCAAGAUUACCUGCAACAAAGCUUGAAAGAGGGUGAAGCUGCCCUCCACUACUUUGAGGAGCUGCCCUCCGCCAACGGCUCAGUGCCCAUCGUCUGGCAGGCCACCCCCCGCCCCUGGCUGGUCAUCACCAUCGUCACCGUGGACAGGCAGCCUGGCUUCCACUAUGUCUUGCAGGUGGUGUCCCAGUUCCACCGGCUGCUUCAACAGUGCGGCCCCCAGUGCGAGGGGCACCAGCUCUUCCUGUGCAAUGUGGAGCGCAGCGUGAGCCAUGUGGAUGCCAAGCUGCUGUCCAAGUACGUCCCCGUGGCCAACCGCUAUGAGGGCACUGAGGAUGAUUACGGCGACGACCCUUCGACCAACUCGUUUGAGAAAGAGAAGCAGGACUACGUCUAUUGCCUGGAGUCCUCCCUGCAGACCUACAACCCGGACUACGUCCUGAUGGUGGAAGACGACGCCAUUCCAGAAGAGCAGAUCUUCCCCGUCUUGGAGCACCUUCUGCGGGCUCGCUUCUCCGAGCCCCACCUCAGAGAUGCCCUUUAUCUAAAGCUCUAUCACCCCGAGAGGCUCCAGCACUACAUCAACCCAGAGCCCAUGCGGAUCCUGGAGUGGAUCGGUGUGGGCAUGGUGCUGGGGCCCAUCCUAACCUGGAUAUACAUGCGGUUUGCCAGCCGUCCGGGCUUCAGCUGGCCCGUCCUGCUCUUCUUCUCCCUGUACAGCAUGGGCCUGGUGGAACUGGUGGGCAGGCACUAUUUCCUGGAACUGCGGCGGCUGAGCCCUUCCCUGUACAGUGUGGUCCCUGCUUCGGAGUGUUGCACCCCAGCCAUGCUCUUCCCUGCCCCUGCGGCCCGCCGGACCCUCACCUACCUGUCCCAGGUGUACUGCCACCAGGGCUUUGGCAAGGACAUGGCCCUGUACUCACUGUUGAGGGCCAAGGGGGAGCGGGCCUAUGUGGUGGAACCCAACCUUGUGAAACACAUCGGGCUCUUCUCCAGCCUGCGGUACAACUUUCACCCCAGUCUGCUCUAGUCGGCCAAGAAAUGCUUUCCUGGAAUCGGCUGCUUCUUGGAGAUUCAAAUACUGAGCGUUUUAUUUAGUUAGACACGGUCGCUUGCAGAUACUUCGUUGUUUAACAUUGCUGAGGAUAGAGGCACUGGGACAGCAGAGGAAAAGACCAGUCAAGAACCUAGGCAGGAGCAGCAGUUGGCCACAGAUCCGGACCUCUGUCCCGCCACACAGCCACACUGCCUCAUGCAGUCUGACCCACCCAAUGAGGGGGCGUGAAAAUACCGGUUACAUUCUCCAGUUGUUUUCAGCUCUGCUUCGUGAUAGAGAUUGGGACUCCCCAAAAUACCGUGCACAGUGAUAUGACUGUUUAAGGAUGUUAAGGGUAGAACUUAGUGAAAGGUAGCAUGAGAAAACAUGGACUAUGAAAUCAGAAGACGCUGCAUUUUUUGUUGUUUUCAGAUUUCUCUCAUGUCCUGGUGGUGUGAACUUGGCCAAGUCAUAACCACUCUGAGUCUCAGUAUCUUCACCUGUAAAAUGAGGACAGUGGUACCUACCUUUUAAAGUUGCCUUGAGACUGUAUGUAAGACACCUUAUAAGUGCUCAGCCCGGAGAGGGCACAGGGUAAAUUCUAGUUCUUUUCUCCCCUGUAGUAAGUAUAUACAACUCAAAUGUAUUUGGAGGGAACGCAGCUUGGCCCCCACCUCCAACCAAGGUAAUUUUUCAUUCAAACUGGAAGCGAUCUGAGACACCUCUUGAACUUAUUCCAGGACUAUCAUCUGAAAAUUACUUUUCUCGAGAAUUACAAGUAAAUGGCCUUGGAUGAUACUUAUGGGACCAGUGGAAAACAUGUCCCUUCCUGAGGACAGAUGGUUACAUGAGAGUUCACACAGUUGUCCAGUCUGUUUCACUGCCACAUCUUCUGUUUGCAUUUACAUUUCCACAGGGAGUUUCCAUGUGGGGAUCCCCUUAAGAACAGGGAG